rnacentral:ncRNA from 1 species
GAACGGCGGCCGUAACUAUAACGGUCCUAAGGUUCUUGACGCGAGCCUUAGUAAAACCGAACUAUAUGCGGGAAACUCCUCAUACAGCCACGCAGUACUCGCCUGAACACGGUUCGGGCAGUAAAAAUCUGCUGGACACGGGGACAAUCCGCAGGAAAGGCUUCCAGAAAGGAAAACUUGAAUGGAAGAAUCCUCAGAGACUUUACGUUCGGUCUCGCAAUCGAGACUGGAAGCGCAGUGGGUGGUUGGUUUCGUAGAUGGUGAGGGAUGCUUUUAUGUGGGUAUCAACUCGCAUCCAGAGAUGAAAGCCGGUUUUCAGGUUUUACCGGAAUUCACGGUGGUGCAGCACGAACGAGAUGUUCAGUUGUUGCAUGCGUUGAAGCAGUUCUUUGGAUGUGGAGUGGUACGCCGCAAUCACGGAGAUCGGAUGGCUUAUCGGGUGCGAAAUAUCCAGCACCUGCGGGAACGGAUUAUCCCGUUCUUUGAAAAGCAUCCGCUCAAAUCCAAAAAGCAGGUGGAUUUUAUGAAGUUUCGUAAAAUCCUGCUCUUGAUGGAGCGUGGGGAACAUCUCAAACCGGAAGGAAUCGAACAAAUCCGCGAAAUUGCUUCCAAAAUGAACACUCAGCGAGAAAGAUAAAGUCCGGCUCCUCUGGAAACAGAGUG